UACGGAGGGUGCAAGCGUUAUCCGGAUUCACUGGGUUUAAAGGGUGCGUAGGAGGGCAGGUAAGUCAGUGGUGAAAUCCCCGAGCUUAACUUGGGAACUGCCGUUGAUACUAUCUGUCUUGAAUAUUGUGGAGGUGAGCGGAAUAUGUCAUGUAGCGGUGAAAUGCUUAGAUAUGACAUAGAACACCAAUUGCGAAGGCAGCUCGCUACACAUAUAUUGACUCUGAGGCGCGAAAGCGUGGGGAUCAAACAGG
rnacentral:rRNA from 1 species